rnacentral:rRNA from 1 species
GACGAACGCUGGCGGCGUGCCUAAUACAUGCAAGUCGAACGCAGUGGGGACGGGUGAGUAACACGUGGGUAACCUCCCAUCAGAGGGGAUAACACUUGGAAACAGGUGCUAAACCGAUACUGAUGGAUGGACCCGCGGUGCAUUAGCUAGUUGGUGAGGUAACGGCUCACCAAGGCCACGAUGCAUAGCCGGGCUGGGAGGGUGGUUGGCCACACUUGGAAUGGGAAACGGCCCAGACUCCUUCGGGGGGCAGCAGUAGGGAAACUUCGGCAAAGGGGGGAACCCUGACCGGGCAACGCCGCGUGAGUGAAGGAGGUUUUCGGGUCGUAAAGCCCUGUUGUUAAGGAAGCGGUACUUAACCAGAAAGGGACGGCUAACUACGUGCCAGCAGCCGCGGUAAUUC